AGUAAUGGACGUUUCCUUUAUAUUGACGAGCCCAAACUUAGGCUAUAAACAAGAUGAUUACAAAGAAGGUCGGUAACGUAAAUAAAAGUGGCCAAGGCCGAGUUAAAGAUAAGACUAGACGAGCUUCUGCUAACACAACUGUUUUUUGUUCUUUUAUACUACUUUUAGAAUGUUUGGCAGAUGCAUUUUGUGAGUAUCGUACUCUUCCUUCUUCCUUAGACGUAGGGCCGACUUAGUGGGCUUUUCAUGAUGGGCCUUGGAGAUAAGUUUCGGGCCUAGUCCUAACAUAAACACCAACAAAAGCAUCACCCCAUGCCAGUUGAGUCAGCUUAUUGACAAAGCAAUCACGGAUCAGAUCUCAUGGCUAAACUAUACCC
rnacentral:lncRNA from 1 species